rnacentral:pre_miRNA from 1 species
AUUUGUUUUGUUGAUGGUCAUCUAGUCUAAUCGUGCACUCUAAUCUGGGCAUAAAUACAUAUAUAUCUUGAUUAGAUUAGAUGAUCAUCAACAAACAUGUU